rnacentral:lncRNA from 1 species
UGUGGAGGAGCCCUCCAGAAUCCAGCUCAUGCUGUUUGCAUAUUGCUUGCUUUAUUAUGUGCGCAAUGCUGCUCUAAUCACCAGAGUUACCAUUAUAAACUGCAUCAGCCAUCUGCGUGCCUGGGAAGAACAGAUACUAGGGUGAACACAAUUUAAACUCUCCUGGCUUUCAAAUGACAGGAAGAUGAGGUACUGAAUGUCAAGGUCUUAUUUAAGGAAUGAUAAAACAACCCGCUUCAUGUGCUAUCAUUAGAGCAACCACAUUUGUUAUAGAUAAAAAUGAAGAACAAUUUAUAUUUUGAGUCUUUCUCUUUCUCUCUCAAGCUAAAAUGAUCUCAACAUUCCAUCCUACAAGCUGUAAUGGUACAAUGUGUGUAUAGCAGGCUGGUUUGAUUCGCAACUCUGAAAGAAUCAGUUUCCUGGUACUGAAAAAUAAAAGCCCUCUGUAUUCAAGUGAAGCCCUGCCUCAGGCACCUAUGGAAGACAAAGGUGAUUUUCUUGUUAAACGGCUACUGCCAGAUCAUGUGGGCAGACCCCAGUCACAUAAAUGGUGCGUGCUAAACCUAAAGGACCAUUGACUUAAUGAAGACAAGAAACGAGACACACUCCAAUGCCACGGGAACACAGCGAAGAGAAGCUCCUGGGUGUCUGUGGCAGAAAGAAAAACUACAGAGCAUUUUAGCACCGAAGUGACAGCCGGGAGAAAUCAUUCUUUG